GCCAGGCGUGGUGGUGUAUGCCUGUAAUCCCAGUAGCUUGAGAGGCUGAGGCAGGAGGAUUGCAAUUUCAAAGCCAGCUUCAGCACUUUAGCAAGGCUCUAAGCAACUUAGCAAGAUCCAGUCUCAA
rnacentral:sRNA from 1 species